UACGGGGGGAGCAAGCGUUGUUCGGAUUUACUGGGCGUAAAGGGCGCGUAGGCGGCCAGCACAAGUCAGUUGUGAAAUCUCCGAGCUUAACUCGGAAAGGUCAACUGAUACUGUGCGGCUAGAGUGCAGAAGGGGCAACUGGAAUUCUUGGUGUAGCGGUGAAAUGCGCAGAUAUCAGGAGGAACACCGGUGGCGAAGGCGGAUCUCUGGGCCAUUACUGACGCUGAGGAGCGAAAGCGUGGGGAGCGAACAGG
rnacentral:rRNA from 1 species